UGCAGCCCAGAAGACUUCUCUUCCCUGCCAAGUGAGAGCCAGCAAAAUGACACCCUUCCCCCAGGCCUCCACCCUCGGUAUUGCAGUAAUUGAAAAGGGAGAUUAUUCCUCGUGUGCCAGGCAUUAACUCUUCAGCUGCUGGAGCAGCUCUUCUGCCCUGAGCAGCGCUGUCAGGGAAGGCCCACGACACCUCCAGGAAGCUGCCUGCACCCUGCGGCUUUGCUCGCUGCCCCGAGGAUGCAGGUCCUAGUCAACAGGACAGAACCACAUCUGCCUCAGAAAACCACUACCACUUGAAGCAGCAGCAAAGAGUGGAACUCACACGUCCGCAGCUCACACCUCUGUCCCCUUAGCUCACAGCUGUUGCACUCUGAGCUUGCACAGAAAGGCCUUUUCCACCACUCUCUUUACUCCUCUGUUGCCCUCCCUGUCCUGUUUAUCACAGCGGUGGGUCCAGGCUCUGUGUGUCAAACUGGGAAUCUGCUCAGAAUUAAAACCACCCCAUGGAGGUUACAGCUCAGCCCUUGGUAGACUCAGGUUUGCAUAGCUGUGAGAUUUGAAUUUAUACCUUAAGGGACUUCCAAAGCUGUGAGCCAAUGCCAGUUCCUGAAAACUAGUCUGUUUCUCCUAACUAGUUAAGGAAAAUGGAAAAUCCACCACAUGUUGGGAGCCCUCCUGCAGGAGACUCCUCACAGAAGCUGGCUGUCCUCCUGACUUGGGGAGCCUGUGGGGAGCCAUGGAAAAAGGUGCAUCUCAGACGCCAAGGAAGCAUCACUUGGUGACACCACGUCUCUUGAAUUUCUUCACUCCAUCUUUACACUCUUGUUAGAGAACUGAGGAGAGGCAUAUGGCCUGACUAACUGUUAAUCCACUUUCCUCAAAGAGUAGCUCUGCCCACUGGUCCUUGUGCUUCAUUUUAGAGAAAGCUCCUCUCCGAGGCACUCUGUGGGCAUGUAAAAAUAACGUAAAGCCUGUAGCCAUGGGAGAGCGCUACACAACUGCUGUGCAAGCCCUACACAAACAAAUUGGAUUCAUCCCUGACCACUGCCUGUGCAGAGAGCUCCUCAGAACGUUGCAGGGCUCACACCAGUGCCCUGAAGGCAAACUUGUUGAGGCUGUUCACCCUACACAUGGAGACCUACAGCCAGAAGCCCGUCCACUGCUCAGCAGGAGCAUGCCAUGCUCCCGGACCAAUUGACAUUUCUUUGUAUGCUGUCUCUCAUGCUGGAGGACGAGGUGUAAUGUCAUUGUGGACAGGCCUGGUAUAUCACAGCCACUGGGACUCAUUCCAUGUGACUCCUUGGAUAAAACUCAGGGUCUGCUGCAGGACUGAUGGGGAUGGGACCCAACUUCAUAGGUGCUCGUGACAAGCGGUGCUACUUUCAUCAUCAAAUUGGGAGCUCUGGCAGCCCUCUGGGCACAUGUGGGGACUAGUGUCAGAUCCUCAGCUUGGUCUAGAAACUUCAAGGCCUCAUCACUUUGUCAGAUCACCUUCCUUGGAGAGAUCAUGCCCCACGCCAUAUCUGCCUGAGCUGAGUUGUGCUUUUUGUCCCUCCCAGGCUUAUGCUGCUGAGAACUGAAAUGAAAGAGAGUGGCCAUGGGCUUCCUUUACACCACUGCCAAAAUGCAUGAGGGGAUGGGGGUCCCAGGACUGGCUCUUGUGCCCCGUCAUGUGGGUCUCUGAGCAGAACGCGCUUCUCGCAGUGCGAAAGGGUUAAGCUGUGUUGUUCAUUGUCACAUGAUGCUGGGAAUGCAAACUGAGUAAGAGGCUGGGGAGCUGGAGCAGCACAUCUUGACUGCACAUGUGGCCUCUACCACAAACACUUCAAAGUGCUUCCCUCAGACUGACGGAACAGUCUGACGCCGACUGUAAAUGCCCUUGACACGCAGAGUGGAAAAUAUCAAACGCUUCAGCAGUCCCCCCAAAAUGCAGCCUAUUUUCACUGGGGAAGGCCUUAAUGAACCUGUGCUGGAAUGAAGGAAGGAGGGAAGGGGAGGGCUGAGGAGGACGGGAGGUGUGACGGGUGGUUCUGAUUUAGCCCUUGUAUAGGUACACGCCAGCCUGGGCAACUGGACUUAAUCUGAGGCAAAUCCAAGCACUCUAGGACAUUUUAAGAAAGGCUGAGACAUCAAUCCCGGGCUGUUUUGUGUCAAGACCCCACUGUGCCUUUCCCCUCCUCCCUGCCCCCUUCGCAUGUACCGAACUGCACAAUUAGGAACAAAAGAAUUUCCAGGCUGGAGAUUUUUCCUUUUCCUCUCCUCGCAAAACCCCCCACCUCUCCCCAUCCCUGUGCUACCCUUCCCUUUGCCACCACCAGCUUUGAAACAUCCAGCCUCACCAGGUGCUCUGUUGAUGCUGGAUUUCUCUCCAAACCCAGCACGGAGCGACCAAGGGCCGUGACUAUGUCGCAGGAGGAAGCCUGCCCUGGUGAGGGGUGCCCAUGGGCAGGAGCAGAUAAGCCUGGCAGCCCCUUAGGCAGUGCAGACCCUUCUGCUGUCUCUUCCCUUGCUGCCCAGCAGCUCUGGAACACGACCAUGUUUGCAUACGGAGUGACAUGAGGAAAAGCCCUGCAGACUGGAGCAGCAGCUCUUAACCUCAACCACACUAGGACCUGGGAGUCUCUGGAAGCCCUGUGCUGUGGUCCACCUAGGAACAGCAUCUCCUGCCCUUCCUCGUGACCUGCCAGGACAUGCAGUCACCUUUGGGGGUGCACACAAGACAUUCAUGUUAUGUCACCGUGUUGGGUGACACUGCCAUGUGCCUGCCUACAGUGGGAAGGGCAGGCAGCCUCCAGCCAUUGGAACAGCAGUCUGUGCCCAUCCCUGUGCCAUGAGACACAUCCCUGGCUUGUGAUGGAAGACACCAGUGUCGUAGUUAUGGGAGGGACUUGCAGAGUCAGAGAACCUGGGGAAGAGGCGGCAGCAUAAGCAGCCAGCUCCCACAACAACUCAUGCAGCCUACCCCAUGCCCAAGGAAGGAGGGCGGUAGUGAGCACCCCACCAAGAAGGGAAACAGCAUUGGCACGCUGGCUGUGCCCAGGUUGGCUACUUGGGUCGGGAUGGUGAGUCUCUUGAGCCCGCUACAGCAGGGCCUCUACGUCCUCCAUGGCAAGGGGAUAGGUCUGGCUGCUGUGGCUUGUACAGAUAUCAUCAGCCAAGAGUGCGAGUGAGCAACGGAGUUUGGCCCAAAUCUUUUGAGACCAUUUCCACAUCAGGUGCUGCACAGAGAGUGGGAGGCAGAGCAGGGGCCCCAGCCAAGGCAGAAGGUGUCGUGUUCUCCUUGCUGCCUGCACAUGGAAACCCCCAGUGGACCAAGAGCAAGGCACUGCCUCUACGGGAGCAAAAGAUAUGAAGUGCAAAAGUGUGGCUCUUGACCAGCAGCUCUUGACCCUGAAUUAGCAUCCAAAAGACAUAAACAUCUCAGGUGGCCAUUUUGAGCAUGAUCUCAGCAGACUCAAGGGACAAACGAGCUGGUUUCAGGGGAGUGAGCCGUGGCCAAUGGAGCAAAUCUAACUACACAGCCAGACACAACCAUUCUGCAUAGCCAAAUGCAGAAGAGGGGACAGAAAGACGACAGGUCUGUGUGCGGUCUCCUUGGCUCCAAAACAAUACACAUCACUGAAAGGCUGAAUGGGACUCUAUGACUGUAGGCAGGGAUCCAUUGGUUAUGACACACUUGGCAUGAAGAAAAUUGCCUCAUAAAAUACUUCUCAGAUCAGCAAGAACUUGAAGGAUCUCAGGAGGGAAUUGAAGGAGAGGAAAGUUCAGACGAUCAGCUUAAAGAUCCCUCAUGUCUUAGAAGCAAAAGCAGACAGGAUCCAAUGGGGCAAAAGAUGUAAAAUGAGGUAAAACAAAGGUGUUUCAAUUCAUGGAGCAUCGGGUAUGCUUUCUGAGGGAGCAUUUCCCUUUUCUGAGGGAGCUGGACCACCUCCAUGUCCCUGGGAGACCAACCACUAUUCUAGAUAACAAACGAGGUAGAGCAGUUAAGAGGGCUUUAAUGGAGCAUCUUUGGGGAACAAUAUUUAAGAGGGUAAACAGAAGACGUAGGUGCCAUCAUAAAAUGCUGACUCCUGGCAGCACAGAUGUUAAAAAGCAAACCUAGAAGCCUGGGCAAUAAACAACAGGAGGUAGAAAUAGCCACUGGUGGGGGAAAAAAAAGACUUGGUAUUUCUGAAACCUCAUGGGAGCAUUUACCCAUAACUAGUCUGUUGGACUCACCAGUACCCUCUGUUUGGAAAAGAUGCCUUGCCUUCUUUAGUAUUCCUGACUUUUCAGAAGGGCAAGACGUAGGAUGCCCACUAUCUGGUGAAUCACAGGAUGGGAUGCAAAGGGAGUUUGCUGGGGAGACCGAGUCAGAGAAAGCAGUCAGAGCAGCGGUGUGUUCCUACUGCUAUCCGCAAGACAUACUGGGGGUAUAGUGAGGGAAAUGCUCGAGGUGGUGGGAUCCUGCUUUGGGGGAGUGGGCAGCCACAGAGAUGCCAGGUGGCCGAUGGUGAACCUCCCGGGCACUGCCAGAGCCGAUGGGUGAUCUUGGGCACGAGCACCAGGCACAUCGGGCACUGUGGCCGGUGCGGGGUCCUUGUGUGCUGGUCCUGUGCUGACAGAUAAAGAUGGAUUGAUCGUUGAGUUGCAGAUUGAUGACUGCUGUCAGCUGGUGGCCUGCCUCGCCAGCCAGCGAAGGGAAGCAGACUCCAUGCCCAGCCCUUUUAAAGGCUUUUGCCUCAGGAUAUGAUUUAUUGUUAGAAAACAAAGGAUGUUUAAGAAAAAAAGCCAACGCGAAAUAAAACAUCUCAAUUGAUGAAAGCUGUCUUCAGUCCCCUGUGGCUUUGCCCCCUCUCCACAAGCCUGAGAGAAAAGGAGGGCUACCCCCCCCCCCCCCGCCAUAUAACCCUAAACCAGCUUCCUCUGCCUUUUAGAUAUGUAACUCUCGUCUCCUGAUGGGCAGAGACUCCACAACCUAUUCCCAGGCUGUCUCUGUGCCAGUGAGCAUGACAUUGUGUGCAAACCCAGAAGAACUCUGAACAGUGCUAUUUAUAUGUGAUGAGAGACCAGAUUUUUAAAAGCACAGAGGUGCCCAGCUCUGGUCCCUGCUUCUGGUAAAAGAAUAGUUUCUCCAGGCUGAAAAGAGUUAGGAGCAAAAUUAGGAGUGGAAGGAAUUAUUUAAACCAAAAAUUUGAAUAGAUGAUAAUUGGGAAGUGUUUAUGGACAUUUUGUGAGGUGGUUUAAGAUAACCACUAUUCUAGAAGCAUGAGUGCUGUUUUGUUUAGACAAGCCCCAGCUAGGAGAGAAGCAGUGUUACUUUACAUUUAAUAUACAUAUAUACUUAGAGAAAUAGCAUUAUGAGUAUAUAUAUUUGGUAUCUAUGCACAUGCACACAUAUAUAUGUAUGUUAAAUUGUAAAUAAAGAAGAGAAAUCUGAUAGCAGUGAGUACAAACCACUGAGAACAUGCAGACAAUUGGGAAGAGAAGCUAAAGGUGGAAGUGAAAAAUCUGUGGCCUGUAGGGUUAAUGAUAAAAAAUUGUUUAAAUGUAUCAAGAAAAGCCAAAUCCUAGCAAUCCCAGGGAUCCCAGACAACAAUGGAAAAAUAUUCAGUCCGUGUGUAGAAAAGACAGUUAUUUGUUCAACAUUUAUUUUCUCUUUGGAAAGAAGGAUGACACAUUCAUACUUUACAGAGAUAAUGAAAUACUUUAUAUUCUAUCAGUGAUGAAGCCGUAUGUUAAACAGCAGUGAUUAAAGUUAGACAUUCUGCAGGAUCAGAUAACUUGCAUCAAAGGAUAAACAAAUUGGCCCAAGAGCUCUCUGAACCAUUAGUGUUGAUUUUUAAACAAAUCUGGGAACACUGGGGACGUUCCAGAGGACUGGAAAAAAAUCUAACAUUGAGCUAAUAAAGCCGUAAACAAGAUGACCCAUGAAAACAAGCAGUGCUUAGCAAGACGUGGAUCCAGAAAGACUGAUCAUAGGAAGAACCUUUAUGGACCACAAUCCGUGCAGACUCAAGCCGAGUUUCCACAACAGUGGUAUUUACAAUCAAACGCUUGCACCCAGAAAUAUAUGCAGAAAUGCCUGGAUGAAUUUUCAUGGAAGCUGAGAACCCAGUUAUUCUAGGAGCAGUUCACAGUGUCUUGCUGAGUUGGUGGGUCACAACCCCCUGAUUUAAAAACGGAAUUCCUGUCUCUUCAGAGCAUGGAGAAGGAGGCAACUGUAGAUUCAAAACUUGGUGAGCCCUGCUGCAGAAGCCAAUGGCCCUUCCACUGGUUACUGAUGCACUCAGAGCCGCGCCGGGUUGGACCUGACCCCCGCUGAUCCCACCACCGUCACCUCCUGGCUCUUGCUGGUGGUCUGAGCUUUGCUGGCAGCCUGGCCAUGAGACGUGGUUCCCGGCACGGCCCUUCGGGGCCCUGUGGUUACCGCAUGAGCUAAGGCCUACCUGGAUCUCAGUUCAGCUGCAGCCGUGUGAAUAACUGCUGGGCUUUUUGCUUUACCAGUGGAGCCAAAAUGCUGAAGAAGAAAAGGUUCCUGCCAAGCCAGCAGAACACAUCCAUCUUCCUGGUGAAAUGAACAAAAAAGGGUUUCAGGUUAAUCGAUCUACCCAAAAUGAAGCAUUUUGGUUUGGCCUUCUUCACUUCCCUGUUUCCUCCUGAGUUCGCCUGUUGUGACUCCUUGGAUUUAGGAUUUGCUGAAUUCGACCCAAAGCCAUGGAGGGGUCCAGUCCACUUGAAUUAGUAUUUCGCAGACAAAGUCCAUAUCUGAAAACUUGUGUACGAUUUUAGUUUCAGUAAUUUUCUCUAUCACAAAUUCCCUCCUUUGACCUUGGUCCAAAUACUUGAGCUCUAUGGGACAUUUGUUUAUUUGUGUAAGAUCCUCUUCCCUUUCAGUGCUGAUUGUUCGUCGUAGCAAGGACUAUAUUUAAACAGUACCCUAUGUUUACGCAGUUGGCUGAUGUGCUGUUGUGAAACCGUUGAUUGAGGCCUGUUAGAAGAUGGAGCAUACUCAGUGCAGAUGGACUUUGUGCUUAAUCCAUGUGCCAAAUGCUAACCAGUCUCUGCUAUUUAAGAGGCUCGUGAUCUGUCUGACUUCAGGCGCUGUCACAGGGAUAGAGAAAGGCCCAUCUUCUCACUCAAGGGACACAUCUUGCCAAGCUUCCAGUCCCAGCUCCAAAGCCCAGAGGCACUGCCGCUUCUCGGUAAAAUGGUUGUAAUAAUGUUUUAACAUUGUUAAAAAAGAAAAGGAAAGAAAAGAAAAAAAAAAGACCUCCCUAAAUCUUGUUCAAAGGGAUGGUGUAAAUAGAGUCAUGGAAUUUUUUGAAAAAUACAAACCAAAACACAGCCCGAGGUGGAAAACCAGCAUGGAAAAUUGGAGCCCAGUUAAAGUCUGGAAAAUAUAAGGUGGAGAGAGGAGUGCCUGCCUUCCCAAAAGCCCAACAUCCACUGCAGCACUAAAGAUUUCCUCACCUGCUCCCUCAACAGCCUUCAGCAAGGUGAGACACUAUCACCCAACUCAGCCGGCUUAAAGCAGCCCUGCUCCUAGCAUGGACCAUGGAAAGGGAGGCGUUUCCCCGGGGCAUUUGACCCCUACCAUCCUAGCCCCUACCACCGGAUGGGAUGGAGAGUCCUGGAGGGAUGUUGCUCCCCUCUUGGUGGCUGUAGAGGGAGCAGGCAAGAUGAAUAGUUCAGCAAAGGUGCUUGACUUUGGGAUGAUGAAGGUUAUCAUGAGACAGCCUCACCCAAAAAGAUUUUAAAUGCAAGAGAGAUCUGAACAUCUGUAAACUAGGGACAUGUCCUAUUUCUGUAAGGGGCCAAAAUGAACCCAUCUGGGGUCUGCAUAAAAUAUGGCCAUUCCAUAUACCAUUUGAGUUCAUAUAGCAAAUGUAGCUUGCAUUUGGAUAAAUAUGGUUUGGAACCAGCACGCUGUCAUUUGAGCUGCUCCAAAUGCCAGAGCAUGUGUGCAUGAAAAUGAACUACCAGUCCCCUGCCUGUUCAGCCCUGGAAAAAUCAAUCUUCUGACAAAAUAAAAAGAAGCCCAUAGUUACAAUCUUGCCUUUAUUUAGGUAUGAAGGCCCAGGUCCACAAAGGUAUGCUAGAAGUCCAUCCUCAAUGGGAGUCUUUAUAGACUCCCUUGAUCCAGGGAAUGAACUCCUGGUUCUGGUCAUUUAUUUAGGACCCCACCACAUCAAAGCAUUUCAAGAAAGCACUGGGGUCCUGUUCCAGGACUUUUGUGUGUGCUGAAAGAUAAGCAUGUUUAGAUCCUCCUGAAAAAUGUAUAUUUGGGGAUCCUUCUCCACAUCUGAGUUACAGAGAAUGUGAAUUUAUCAUAAUACUCUGAAGGAGCACUUGGCCAACCCUGUCCCUUUCUCUCUUGAGAGUCCCAUCUCAAUCCCUGGAUUUAGACAAAAUGGGGGGCAAGUAUGAAGGCGUGAAUAGAAGAUUUGGGUGGGGAAGGGACUUCGUAACCAUCCCACAUUGUAAGAGUAGUAUAUGCCAUAUCAGUCACUGCUAAUAAUUCCUCAAGAGACCUGUCCCAGCAUCAGAGCUUUGGUGAAGAAGGUGUAUUUUUACUCUAUGGACCUGAGAACGAUUGCAGGAGUCUGAGACAAGGAUUGAUCUACAGGACCCCUAGUCCCUGCCUCUAAGUCAUAUGGAGUGUGUCCUUGCAAACAAAAGCUCAUCAUAAAGCAGACACCCAGCUAGGAGAACUGAGUCCUUUCUUAGUCCUUUCUUGACAAAAAAAGUAGUUUAACCUCAGGUACUACCUGGAUGCUGCUAACUGGCACUGAGACAGUGCAGUUUAACCGCAGACACACCACUAAACCUUCUCUUGUAUCUGGUUUGAAUGGAAAGGGAGCAGGCUGCCAGCUAGAGCGCCUGGAAGGACAUGCUGCACUACAUGUGGUUAAAGUAGCCUUAAUUUUUUGAUGGCAAUGGUAUUAAAUGUGUAUAAAGCAGACAGACUGGUGCUAAAGUACUUACUGGGAACAUUAAUAAACCAUGGACCACCCUUCCUCAUCAUAUGAUGUGGUUCUGUCCAUAGGCAAGAUAUGUAAAAACAAUUUAAAAUUAAUUUAACUUUUAAACCUUUUAAAAACAUAUAAAAAACCCACCCUUUUGAUAUAGGAUUAGGCUGUUUUUCCAAGUGGGAGAAUGUUCACAUCAGGAUUGAUUUAAUUUUUUUUCCCCUUUUAAAUCAUAAACAGUCCCGGUACAAGAAACAGUAGCUGUUAUUGAUUAAAAGUUCAUUUGCCUUGUCUUUACUGAUGAUUGAUAUUUGGGAAGGAGGGAUGGAAGAGGGGAAGGGUGUUGUACGUUGGAGAGAAAAAGAAAAUGUGUCACAUGUUACCUGCAUCUUAGAAUAAUGUUAGUGUUGGAAGGAAUACGGAUUGUGAAAAAUAAUAAUUGUUUUAAGGUUCAGUACAUCUCAGUUCAUUUUGUGUGCAUGUGUGUGUUUUAAUGUGUUAGACGGGCCCUCUUCAAAUAGCAGUGUGAUGCAGGAGGGGAGCAAGGCAACUGCAUUUCCAAAUGGGAUUUUUAUGGCCCGUUGAAGGAAAGCAGCUACCCGCUGAAUAAUACCGCGUAGUUUCCAGUGGCAGGCUUUAAAUGCUUCCUUUCGCGAGCACGUGUGCUGCACAGCUUCGCAGGCAGCGAGUA